rnacentral:rRNA from 1 species
CAACCCGGAGAGGCCCGUUCAAUACUGCUGAUCUAGAGGAGGCCAGAGGGGAGUGGAAUUCCUGGAGUAGCGGUAAAAUGCGCAGAUAUCAGGAAGAACACCAGUGGCGAAGGCGGCUCCCUAGGGCCCACCUGACGCUGAGAGACGACAGCUAGGGGAGCGAACAGGAUUAGAGACCCUGGUAGUCCUAGCCGUAAACGAUGGAUGCUAGGUGUAGGGCCGUAGAGGCUCUGUGCCGGAGCGAACGCGAUAAGCAUCCCGCCUGGGGAGUACGGCCGCAAGGCUAAAACUCAAACGAAUUGACGGGGACCCGCACAAGCAGCGGAGCGUGUGGUUUAAUUCGAUGCUACACGAAGAACCUUACCUGGGUUUGACAUGGGCGUGGUAGUGAAGCGAAAGCGGAGCGACCCUUCGGGGAGCGUCCACAGGUGCUGCAUGGCUGUCGUCAGCUCGUGCCGUGAGGUGUCGGGUUAAGUCCCGUAACGAGCGCAACCCUUGCCCUUAGUUACAAGUGUCUAAGGGGACUGCCGGCGGGAAGCCGGAGGAAGGUGGGGAUGACGUCAAGUCAGCAUGGCCCUUAUAUCCAGGGCUACACACACGCUACAAUGGCCGGUACAGAGGGCAGCGAAGCCGCGAGGUGGAGCGAAUCCCAGAAAGCCGGUCGUAGUUCGGAUUGCAGGCUGCAACCCGCCUGCAUGAAGCUGGAGUUGCUAGUAACCGCGCGUCAGCCAUAGUGCGGUGAAUACGUUCCCGGGUCUUGUACACACCGCCCGUCACGUCAUGGGAGUCGGUAACGCCUGAAGCCGGUAGCCUGACCCGCAAGGGAGGGCGCUGUCGAGGGCGGGGCUGGCGACUGGGACGAAGUCGUAACAAGGUAACCAAGGGCGAA